UUCAUUCGGCAGGAUUGACAAACUCUCCGGCUGAGCUGAUUAAAGGGCUUUGGGGUCACAUAACUAGGCCAGCCAUCCCACUCGCACCUGUCUUUGCAGUGUAUACAAGUGUCUGCUGGGUGUGUCGGCUGUCAUUCUCGGAUCAAUGGCUUUAUUAAGCAGCAACGCAAGGGAAAAAAAAAAACUUUUAUCCUCUGCCGAAGGAAAAAAAAACAAGCUCCCAUCCGACACUUGUUUGUUUUCAAAACUCCAAACAUGGGGAUGCUCUGAUUAUGUUGCAAAAUAAACUAUAUUUACUUUUUUUUCCUACGACCACCAAUAGCAAGCAAAUAAUUUCCUUAAGCGUAAUUACAAUGCGGUAUUAAAAAGCUGAAUGUAUUUAUACAAGUUAAAUUAGAGUGUAAGAGGACUCACAAUUCACUUGCAAUGCUUUCAAAACACAGCUGUGAAAAUACAAAUAAGGCAUUAAAAGAAGAUGGAAAAGAAGGGACAAAAGGACACUUUGCUGUCAGGCCAAGCCUGAAGAGUACUAGAAAAAACGCAAUGGAGUCAAAGAUCUUCAGAAACUCUUAUCCAGCAUAUGAUGUGAAUUCUGGGCAAGCAUCUCACUGGAACAGCUUCGAUUCCUUACAAAUUCCUGCCAAAAUCCGAUAUUCCACAGCAGCUUGUACAAGUCCCCCAGCCUGAUGAAAGUAAACCUUUAAUUGAAGAGGCAUUAUUUAGUUUUGAUCUUGUCUACGGUCCAUUUAAAACACCACUCUUAGAAUAUUUGUUAGAAUUGCAAGUUAAAAAAAUUCAGAUUUCUUCUCAAUUGUGAUAUGCAGAGAGCGAUAUAAUAAAUAUUAUGAAUGGAAACCCACACCACGUAUUGUUUUUAUUCUUUGCCUACAAUCUGUAUUGAAUCUGUGCAGUAUUUUUUGUAUCGACAAUGAAUCCAUUGCAAACCAAUACC